GUUGCUCGGAAUCACUGGGCGUAAAGGGUGCGUAGGCGGGUCUUUAAGUCAGGGGUGAAAUCCUGGAGCUCAACUCCAGAACUGCCUUUGAUACUGAGGAUCUUGAGUUCGGGAGAGGUGAGUGGAACUGCGAGUGUAGAGGUGAAAUUCGUAGAUAUUCGCAAGAACACCAGUGGCGAAGGCGGCUCACUGGCCCGAUACUGACGCUGAGGCACGAAAGCGUGGGGAGCAAACAGG
rnacentral:rRNA from 1 species